GUUUUAAUAAUUUAAAAAAAUACUGGUCUUGUAAACCAGAAAUAAGAUUACCUUUUAAAACU
rnacentral:tRNA from 1 species